CUUCACAUGGGGGAGCUCUGAGCUCUGAUUUCACAAAUCUCAUACCUCGCCCCCCAUUCCCCUAAAUUUCCGAUCCCUACCCGCUAGAUUCGCACUCAUGGAGGCGAGCGCCGGCCUGGUCGCCGGCUCCCACAACCGUAACGAGCUCGUCGUCAUCCGGCGAGACGGGGAAUCCGGCCCAAAACCCCUGCAGCAGCUCAGCGGUCAGAUUUGCCAGAUUUGCGGCGACGAUGUCGGGCUCACCGCCGACGGCGAGCUGUUCGUCGCCUGCAAUGAAUGCGCCUUCCCGGUGUGCCGCACCUGCUAUGGGUACGAGCGCAAAGAGGGGAACCAGGUCUGCCCCCAGUGCAAGACCCGGUACAAGAGGCUCAAAGGAUGUGCGCGGGUCGCCGGAGACGAUGAAGAGGAUGACACCGAUGAUCUUGAGAAUGAGUUCAGUUUUACUGGGAGGGAGAGAAAUGAUAUGCAGUACAUGGCGGAGGCUAUGCUGCAGGGGCACAUGAGGUAUGGUCGCGGCAGCGAUCUUGAUAUGCCGCAGGUGGUUCAUACAAUGCCUCAUGUUCCGCUGCUCACCAGUGGCCAGAUGGUUGAUGAUAUUCCGCCGGAGCAGCAUGCUCUUGUGCCAGCCUUCAUGGGCGGGGGAGGGAAGAGGAUUCACCCGCUUCCGUUCUCAGAUAGUGUUCCAGUUCAACCCAGAUCUAUGGAUCCAUCAAAGGAUCUUGCUGCUUAUGGCUACGGGAGCGUGGCGUGGAAGGAGAGGAUGGAGCAUUGGAAGCAGAAGC
rnacentral:misc_RNA from 1 species